rnacentral:rRNA from 1 species
CCUACGGGAGGCAGCAGUGAGGAAUAUUGGUCAAUGGACGAGAGUCUGAACCAGCCAAGUAGCGUGAAGGAGGACUGCCCUAUGGGUUGUAAACUUCUUUUAUAAAGGAAUAAAACGAGGCACGUGUGCCUUUUUGCGUGUACUUUAUGAAUAAGGAUCGGCUAACUCCGUGCCAGCAGCCGCGGUAAUACGGAGGAUCCGAGCGUUAUCCGGAUUUAUUGGGUUUAAAGGGAGCGUAGAUGGGUUGUUAAGUCAGUUGUGAAAGUUUGCGGCUCAACCGUAAAAUUGCAAUUGAUACUGGCAGUCUUGAGUACAGUUGAGGUAGGCGGAAUUCGUGGUGUAGCGGUGAAAUGCUUAGAUAUCACGAAGAACUCCGAUUGCGAAGGCAGCUUACUAAACUGUGACUGACAUUGAUGCUCGAAAGUGUGGGUAUCGAACAGGAUUAGAUACCCUAGUAGUC